CAAUAAGCGGAGGAAAAGAAACUAACAAGGAUUCCCCUAGUAACUGCGAGUGAAGCGGGAAAAGCUCAAAUUUAAAAUCUGGCGGUCUCCGGCCGUCCGAGUUGUAAUCUAGAGAAGUGUUAUCCGCGCUGGACCGUGUACAAGUCUCCUGGAAUGGAGCGUCAUAGAGGGUGAGAAUCCCGUCUUUGACACGGACUGCCAGGGCUUUGUGAUGCGCUCUCAAAGAGUCGAGUUGUUUGGGAAUGCAGCUCAAAAUGGGUGGUAAAUUCCAUCUAAAGCUAAAUAUUGGCGAGAGACCGAUAGCGAACAAGUACCGUGAGGGAAAGAUGAAAAGAACUUUGGAAAGAGAGUUAAACAGUACGUGAAAUUGCUGAAAGGGAAACGCUUGAAGUCAGUCGCGUUGGCCGGGGAUCAACCUUGCUUUUGCUGGGUGUACUUUCCAGUCGACGGGUCAGCAUCAAUUUUGACCGUUGGAUAAAGUUCAGGGGAAUGUGGCAUCUUCGGAUGUGUUAUAGCCCUUGGUCGCAUACAACGAUUGGGAUUGAGGAACUCAGCACGCCGCAAGGCCGGGUACUUGUACCACGUUCGUGCUUAGGAUGCUGGCAUAAUGGCUUUAAUCGACCCGUCUUGAAACACGGACCAAGGAGUCUAACAUGCCUGCGAGUGUUUGGGUGGAAAACCCGGGCGCGUAAUGAAAGUGAAAGUUGAGAUCCCUGUCGCGGGGAGCAUCGACGCCCGGACCAGACCUUUUGUGACGGAUCCGCGGUAGAGCAUGUAUGUUGGGACCCGAAAGAUGGUGAACUAUGCCUGAAUAGGGUGAAGCCAGAGGAAACUCUGGUGGAGGCUCGUAGCGAUUCUGACGUGCAAAUCGAUCGUCAAAUUUGGGUAUAGGGGCGAAAGACUAAUCGAACCAUCUAGUAGCUGGUUCCUGC
rnacentral:ncRNA from 1 species